ensembl:lncRNA
CCGAGGCCAGGAACACACUGACACCCUUGUUUGAGCGGGCUCCGAUGGUGGGCUGUGUGCUGCUCAGCAUCCCUGUGGUGGGGGUGGCGUUGAUCUGCUACAUGGGAUACAAGUGGAAGGUUCCCUCCCAGGGGGAGAAGGACGGACAGGAAGCCCUUCCUGGCGCCCAGAUAGAAGAGAGUCCGGGGAAGAGCGGCGCCAUAGAGCAGAAAAAGAAGAGCGCUGCAGAGAAAAAGAGUGAUUAGCUUGUGAGCGAUUAAUAUAUAGCAGCUAGGAAAUAGCGGGUAUAUGUCGGUGGGUAGAAGUUGGCGGCUAGGUGUAAGCUAAGGGUGACCCGUUAGGAGUUAGCGACAAGGCGUUGGCGGUAAGGAGUAGCUAGGAAUUAGCCAUCUGUCAGCGACCUUGGAGGAGAAGGGCUGGUCGUCUGGUGACUGUCCCAGACUGAAGGAAGGAUACAAGGAAGGAAGGAGACAAGGAGGGAAUUAAGUUCACCUUCUCCACUUUUCUUUGAAAAUUGUUCUCUAAGCUCUUAUCUUGAUUUUAGUGAAUGGAACAACAUUGAAUAACAUUAAACAUAUCAAUAUGAUAUUUAUUCUGUACUCACAUAUACGAUAAUAAUAUAAUCUAAGACAGAACAAUGUGCAGCACAUAGAAAUGGUUAUAUAACAUUUAAAUAAUGAAAUUUGAUGGUGAGUGCAGUCAUCCAUCCUGAGUAAUCGUGUGUUUCUUAUUGCCAAGGACUUUUUUAACCAAGAAAUUGGACAUUUUACUGUGUAUCAUUAAAAUGUUUUCUUUUUGAAACUAUGAGGCAGUGGUCUUUAAGUCAUUGAAGUCUGAUGAUUGUUUGUUGUGAUGUUUAUGAUGGUGUAGUGGCUAUCAGGUGAUUCCCAGCUGAAAUACUGGGAUCGUUCUCCAAUGUCUGUACAACCAUAAAGCAUACUAAAGCAAGAUGCCUCACCCAUACGAGCUGUAUCUUUCACGCAUACACCACAUAAUAUACAAAUACACUAGUUAUUAGUGUUUUCCGUUACUUGUUAUUACUUGUAAGUCGCUUGGAAGGUAAACACCUGCUAA